AUUGAACGCUGGCGGCAUGCUUUACACAUGCAAGUCGAACGGUAACAGGCCGCAAGGUGCUGACGAGUGGCGAACGGGUGAGUAAUGCAUCGGAACGUGCCCAGGCGUGGGGGAUAACUAAUCGAAAGAGUAGCUAAUACCGCAGACGAACUAUGGAUGAAAGAGGGGGACCGUAAGGCCGCGCGCGAUUGGAGCGGCCGAUGUCAGAUUAGGGAGGUGGUGGGGUAAAGGCGCACCAAGCCAACGAUCUGUAGCUGGUCUGAGAGGACGACCAGCCACACUGGGACUGAGACACGUCCCACACUCCUACGGUAGGCAGCAGUGGGGAAUUUUGGACAAUGGGCGCAAGCCUGAUCCAGCAAUGCCGCGUGCAGGAAGAAGGCCUUCUGGUUGUAAACUGCUUUUGUACGGAACGAAACGGCUCUGGUUAAUACCCGGGGCUAAUGACGGUACCGUAAGAAUAAGCACCGGCUAACUACGUG
rnacentral:rRNA from 1 species